rnacentral:rRNA from 1 species
GUCCAGACUCCUACGGGAGGCAGCAGUGGGGAAUAUUGCACAAUGGGGGAAACCCUGAUGCAGCGACGCCGCGUGAGUGAAGAAGUAUUUCGGUAUGUAAAGCUCUAUCAGCAGGGAAGAAGAAGGACGGUACCUGAGUAAGAAGCCCCGGCUAACUACGUGCCAGCAGCCGCGGUAAUACGUAGGGGGCAAGCGUUAUCCGGAUUCACUGGGUGUAAAGGGAGCGUAGACGGCGACGCAAGUCUGGAGUGAAAGCCCGGGGCCCAACCCCGGGACUGCUCUGGAAACUGCGUCGCUGGAGUACGGGAGGGGCAGGCGGAAUUCCUGGUGUAGCGGUGAAAUGCGUAGAUAUCAGGAGGAACACCGGCGGCGAAGGCGGCCUGCUGGACCGUGACUGACGUUGAGGCUCGAGAGCGUGGGGAGCAAACAGGAUUAGAUACCCUGGUAGC